rnacentral:sRNA from 1 species
AAACAUUCAUUCAUAUAUCACUCAAUUGUAAAUAGUACUGCACAGUAUUACUCUGUAUUUCUCAGAAGUAUUCCCCGUAAUUACCAGUAUUACACAGAUACUCCUAUUUUACUAUGUAGUAUUUCUCAAAGUUACUAGUACUAACUAUCGAUAAAUCACAAUUAUAGUAUUACUCUAAGGUAUUACCCACAUCCGCCAAUAUUACCUAAAUAUCAACAUAGCAUUUCCCAAUGUUACUAGUACUGUCCACAGUUCACAAUUGCAUUAUUACCCAAUUAGAUCGGUAUUACGAAAUGGAAUACUUACCACAUUUGCGAUGUCCUCGUCUAUGGUCCUCUCCUCCACGGGUUUUGCCACUAUCACGUCCUUGUCUCUCUCGUCCUCGUUUCCCUCCUCCUCCACGGACUUUUCCACAUUGACGUCCUCGUCGCUCGCGGAGCUCCUCUCCUCCUCCUCCUCGAUAACGGCUAGGCCGUCAUCUUGUCUCUCCACCUCUUCCACGGGAUUAGCACACGCGAGUUCUUUGUUUGUCUCCGUCUCCUCUGAAUCGGAAUCGGAGCCCAAGGUUCGGCUACUCUUCCCUGAUUCUUCUUCUUCACUUGCUUCUUCUUUUUCAUUUUCAUCUUCCACCUCAUCAGUUUGCAUAUUCUCUUGAAUUUCUUCAGUAGGAAUAUGCUUCAAAGCAUCAUAAAACGUAGAAUCAUCAAGCAUCGGGCUCUCUGUCGUUGGAGCCGUCGUUGGAGCCGUUGUCGUUGGAGCCGCUGUCGUUGGAGCCGCAUUGGUUGCCAUCGCCGUCGCAGUCGUUUGUGCCGGCGCCUGCUCCUCAGCCGGCACUUUCUCUUUAUCUUUCUUCGCCGACGCCUGAACCUUCGCUUUCUUCGCCGGCACCUUCUCCUUCACUUUCUCCGCCGACGCCUUAACUUUCUCUUUCUUCAUCGGCGCCGACGCUUCUAUCUCCUUUCUUUUCCCUACCUCCUCCACGCGUCUUAGGCGGCAUGACUGAUUUCGAAUCGGAAAUAGAACGGAAAUACUGGUGAAAGGAAGAAGAACGGUCGAUUGAAUUUAAAGAAAUAUGGAAUGUUGCGGUUAAUUUCAGCGGUUACUAAGGAGAAGAAGAAGAAAAAUCGAAAACGGUUGUAAUGAGAAAAAGAAUGAAAUUCGAAUAAAGAGUAAAGGUUCCCUAGGCCCUGGAAAUAUUAGGUUUUUUUUUGGAUUUUCAAAUAAAGAGUAAAGGUGGUUCGGGUGGUUUGGUUCGGAAACGAACCAUGGUUUUUCUGGUAAUUAAUAGGUUCAGAUGGGGAUAUACUAGUAAUAUCCAUAUAU